CGCGUAGGUGGGAUAGUAAGUCUGCUUUAAAAGUGCGGGGCUCAACCCCGUGAUGGGGUGGAAACUGCUAUUCUUGAGUGCAGGAGAGGAAAGCGGAAUUCCCAGUGUAGCGGUGAAAUGCGUAGAUAUUGGGAGGAACACCAGUGGCGAGGGCGGCUUUCUGGACUGUGUCUGACACUGAGGCGCGAAAGCUAGGGGAGCGAACGGGAUUAGAUACCCCGGUAGUCCUAGCCGUAAACGAUGGGUACUAGGUGUAGGGGGUAUCGACCCCCCCCUGUGCCGGAGUUAACGCAAUAAGUACCCCGCCUGGGGAGUACGGCCGCAAGGUUGAA
rnacentral:rRNA from 1 species